rnacentral:lncRNA from 1 species
GCUUCAUUAUUAUUGCUUUUAUAAUAGAAUCUCUCUUAAACAACUUUAAUGUAACCAACUCACAGAAUUAGUCCCCUUUCUUUAUUCCCUCAAUAAGACAUAAUGUCUCUAUUGUUUUUUUGAACAUGUAUACUGGGUAAAAAACACACAAAGGGCAGGAGUUGAGGCAAAUGUCAAAAUCUGAGUAGUUUAUAAUAUAGAAUACUGUUUUUGGACAAGCAUUAUGAUUGGCAUUGCUUGGCGGCUGCAGUGCUGAUUCACAGGUAGGAAGACCCCAGAAAAAUAAAAAGACCCUAGGACUUUACUGGAGCUGGUGGAAAUAUCACAGGGUGACAUGUGGAUCUUAUGGCCUGAGAACAACAAAGGCAGAGACCAGAUGCCAUUAAUUUAUAUUAUGUAAACUAUAAAAUAGACAAGUCAGUAAGCAAUAGUCUAUUUCUGAAAUAGCACAUAAAACUAACUGCAAAACUUAUUCUCUCCCCAUGUCCUGCUUGGCCACCAAUAAAGAAACUACUGAAAUUGUUGGAAUUUCGUGUUCAUUUCCUAUAUGUGAAAAUGUUAUUCUCUUAGAAUGUUAAAAUGUUAUGGCCCAAAAUUUGUUCAUUUUAUUGUUGAGAGAAAUGUCAUUGUU